CGACUUUGCAGCCUGGCUGCCUCCCCCCAGACCCGCCGGCCGGAAUGGAAACCCAAGCUCUCUCGUAAUGAAGGGGAUGAUGCAAACUUAGAAACUGACCUGGCACCCGGGAAUGGUGCCCCACCCCCACCCUUGGCGCGCGGCGUCCCAGUCCGGGCAUGAAUGGCUGGAGCCCGAUUGCAUAAUCGGCGCGGUAUAUAUAGCCGGCGGGCAGGCUGCUGACGCGCUCCUGCGUCCUGUUAUCGUGAAUACUUCAUCGCCGAUGGCGUUGGCUCCCGGGUCAUUUUCCCUUUCAGCUGUAAGGCUGGGAUUUUAAAUAGCAGAGAUGAAAGGCUCUUGUCCCUGCCUCCCUCCUCCCUUGAGUUCAUGUAUUAUGAAUGAAACCUCGCUGCUUCCUGAAAUCCCUCCUUCAGAUCCCAGAUAUACAGACAGCUGGGCAAAGGCAUUGAAGAAAGGACCAGAAAAACAGGUGACCAAUAAAAUGCAAGGAGAUGUCUGCUAGGGAAAUACUGGAAAAAAUUUGAAUCCCUGAACAAAAGAGAGAUAUGGGGUGAGAGGGGGUGCUCCCGUCUCCCCCCGCCCCCCCGCUCCUGCCCUCAGAAGUUCUUGUGUGAGACCGUGAUGUUCAGCACUACCAGGAGAAGAAUGCCAAGAAAAUCAAAGGAGAGCUGACUGAGAAUCCUGGAAUUGCUGAGCUACUGAGUCGACCAGACUUGCAACCCACCUACCUCUGGACUUCAGGUUAUGCGAAAUAGCACAUCUUUAUUGUUUAAGCCCCUUUUUACCAGUGUCUUGUUACUUGCGGUCAAACUAAGUGAUUCACACUGUAUUCAUUCGUUGUAUGCACAGAACUCCCUGUUUUAAGGAAAUCCCAGUGUUUCAACAGCAGGUGUCUGGUUGGUUUGCCACUUGCAGAAGAGGACUAACCAACAGAGUUAACUUCUAGACACAUCUCUUU